CAAAUUCCUGAAUUCGGGAUUAUGGGUUGGCUAAAUUGAUUGAGGCAACUCUUUGAGUUUCUGUCUCGCUUUGAAACUUCCUGACGAUGACUUACUACUGUACUUAGUACCUGAUGCUUCAGGGCUAGGCGAAGGCAGUUCUGUCGCGGGAUUGUGCAACCCGAUCUAAAGCGCCAGUAGGGCAGAAUGAAUUUGUUCUUGACUCCACUGGUAAUUUGCCCAUAUGCUGAAAUAUGAGGGUUGGUGUUGUAAUUGAAUCCUGGGUCACUAGUUGCAGUUGGUUUAUAAAUAUCUACGCCUAAUGUAACUACUCUAGUAGCUGACUUCCUGUAGCUUUGAGUUCAGCAGUAAGUAAACAUUCGCAUAUGAAGCGUCUUCCUGCUUUCUUUGAGUUUAGAUCAACUAUAAAAGUUAAAAUUCCAGGUUCCCCUUAGGCAGUAAAAGAAGUUAAACAGGGCAUGUAUGUUAAAUUCACUAUGUCUUUAAGCCCUCUUGCAUCAUUAAAAAGCUUCCUGUUGAAUUGCCAGGUUUCCCCCCUCCCCCAAUAUGCUAGCUAGUACCUUAAUACAAUAUCAUGCAGCAGUUGCUUUGGAGAGAGGAAAGAAAGUCUUGAUUAACUGACGGGCAGGGAGUGGGGAAGGAGAGCAGGGAGGCUAUGUUAAAUUCAUAAGAACAUUAAAAUAGCCUGGUGCUAAGCGAAAUUGACCGAUCUACUGUGUGUAAUCUCUGUAGAAUUUUGCGGCAACUGCCUCCAUAGGGGAAUCUUUUCAACAUUACUUUUUUGAACCCUAUAAAAUGUUCCUUCUCCCUCUCCAAAAUAAGAUUGCACUAAGUAACUGUAUGCAGCAGUGUUGAUGGAGGGUCAGUCUUGAGAAUAGAACCACACUUAACUGCCUAAUACAUUAGUCCAUUUGUGUAGUUUUUGGCAUUCUAGUAAUUUUCGGUUUUGCUUUCCUUUUGAAACUGUGGAUGGCAGGUGGCAUGUUUUACUUAAAAUAAGCUCCACACGGGAUAAAUCCAGCAGGUCUGUGAUUGAGUCAGCAGUUUUUUUAAAGCUUGUUUUCCCAGCAGCGAAGACUUCUUUAGCUUCAUCUGAUAAAGUAUCAUAAUAGUUUUAUGAGAUGAAUUCCUCUUAAUUGUACCUCAUAUGCCAGUUUCUUUGGAAAUGGUUAAAUUUAGCUCUUUGAUUUAAGAGUAAUGUCCAUCCCCGCCCCUGCCAUGGAGUUAAGUACCACUCUACCAUUGCCUGAAGCUUGACAGUCCAUUUAUUUGUUUUUAGAGACAGAAUUGUUAAGUAGCAAAGCAAUUUGACUUUAAAAAAGUAUUUUGUUAUUUGUCUAAGAAAAGGUAUUUCAUUGCUGUGCUUUUAGGACUGUUGAAGGUCAGUGAAAGCUCCCUCCAUAGUUAUCUUAUUACACUGAAAAAUAUAGUCUUGAGGUUUAAACUAACAAUCAGUAAAACCACUACUUUAAUAAUAGUAAUGUGACAGUUUAGCAAGUAUACUGUUUUUUCCCAAUUUUAUCUGUCUUCCUCUUGCUUUCAUUUUGCUUUUCAUACUAUGUCUGUAUUUGUGUGUAUUUGGUGUCCAUAAAAU
rnacentral:lncRNA from 1 species